rnacentral:rRNA from 1 species
CCUACGGGGUGCAGCAGUCGAGAAUCAUUCACAAUGGGGGAAACCCUGAUGGUGCGACGCCGCGUGGGGGAAUGAAGGUCUUCGGAUUGUAAACCCCUGUCAUGUGGGAGCAAAUUAAAAAGAUAGUACCACAAGAGGAAGAGACGGCUAACUCUGUGCCAGCAGCCGCGGUAAUACAGAGGUCUCAAGCGUUGUUCGGAAUCACUGGGCGUAAAGCGUGCGUAGGCUGUUUCGUAAGUCGUGUGUGAAAGGCGCGGGCUCAACCCGCGGACGGCACAAGAUACUGCGAGACUAGAGUAAGGGAGGGGGAACCGGAAUUCUCGGUGUAGCAGUGAAAUGCGUAGAUAUCGAGAGGAACACUCGUGGCGAAGGCGGGUUCCUGGACAUUAACUGACGCUGAGGCACGAAGGCCAGGGGAGCGAAAGGGAUUAGAUACCCCAGUAGUC